GGGGAUUUAGCUCAGUGGCAAAAGUGCCUGCCUUGCAAGCAUGUGGGUCAUGAGUUCAAUCCCCA
rnacentral:tRNA from 1 species